rnacentral:rRNA from 1 species
AUUGAACGCUGGCGGCAUGCUUUACACAUGCCAGUCGAACGGCAGCGCGGGCUUCGGCCUGGCGGCGAGUGGCGAACGGGUGAGUAAUACAUCGGAACGUGCCCAGUAGUGGGGGAUAGCUCGGCGAAAGCCGGAUUAAUACCGCAUACGACCUGAGGGUGAAAGCGGGGGAUCUUCGGACCUCGCGCUAUUGGAGCGGCCGAUGGCAGAUUAGCUAGUUGGUGGGGUAAAGGCCUACCAAGGCGACGAUCUGUAGCUGGUCUGAGAGGACGACCAGCCACACUGGGACUGAGACACGGCCCAGACUCCUACGGGAGGCAGCAGUGGGGAAUUUUGGACAAUGGGCGAAAGCCUGAUCCAGCAAUGCCGCGUGUGUGAUGAAGGCCUUCGGGUUGAAAAGCACUUUUGGCGGGAACGAAAAGGACUGUGCCAAUACCACGGUUCGAUGACGGUACCCGCAGAAUAAGCACCGGCUAACUACGUG